CGUAGGUGGCAAGCGUUGUCCGGAUUUAUUGGGUUUAAAGGGUGCGUAGGCGGCUUUAUAAGUCAGUGCUGAAAUAUCCCGGCUUAACCGGGAGGGUGGCAUUGAUACUGCAGAGCUUGAGUGAAGUCGAGGUAGGCGGAAUUGACGGUGUAGCGGUGAAAUGCUUAGAUAUCGUCAAGAACACCGAUAGUGAAGACAGCUUACUAGACUUCAACUGACGCUGAGGCACGAAAGUGUGGGGAUCAAACAGGAUUAGAUACCCUGGUAGUCCACACUGUAAACGUUGAUUACUCGAUGUGUGCGAUAUACAGUACGCGUCUUAGCGAAAGCGAUAAGUAAUCCACCUGGGGAGUACGCCGGCAACGGUG
rnacentral:rRNA from 1 species